rnacentral:lncRNA from 7 species
CUAGUUCUCAAUGUGAGAUUACAGUAAACUAACCAGCACCUUUGAAGCCUUCUGUUGCACCUUUGGAGCUUGGCGUCUUCACCAAAGAACUCUAGAAACUGGACAGAUUGAGAAGUUCAGAGUGAAAACUUUAGUCCAGAGGCUAGAAGAAAGGAAAUGAGUGAAGAGAAACAAAUCAAUGUUUGAAUGGGUGGGAAAUGUUUUCCAACUGAUCCUGCAAAUCCCACAUUCUCCUGUCUAGGUCCCUCUGGAUGGCAUCUGGUCUCUCGUCUGCAUUGACUGCACUCCUCAGCUUGGUGUCAUCCACAGACUUUCUGAGAGUGCACUUGACCCCACUGUCAAUGUCAUUGAUGAAGAUAUUAAAGAGUAUCAAUCCCAGCACUGACCCACUCAUCACUGAGCUUCAUCCAGAUAUUAACCUACUGACCACCUGUAGAAAUUCCAGACUGAAUUUUCAAGAGUCAGCAUACCAGGCUGUGAUGGUGUUUGCAAGUCACAUUGCUUAGGGAACUACCAUGGAAUAGAUUAUCCAGCACAUUCCAUCCCCGAAGUGUUACCUUCUCUUAAGAAAUGGACAUUUCAAUCUUGAUUUCAUCCUGCUACGUUACUGAAGUAAACAAAGAGAAAUCGGACUUCUAAACACUAUAUUCUGUACUACCUUGUUGCCUUGGGGUGUUUGUUUUUUUUCUUGUAAACAUGUCUGCAGCUUAUUCUCUCUCUGUGUACCUCUGGUCUGUAAUAAAAAUGAAAAUAAAUAUAAUAUGAGCAC